AGCUAUCUUAGUGAGGUAUACCUGCUUCUCACAGGCACCUGCAUCCCUGAACCUUCACCUGAGAUCAAUCUGUUUAAUUAUCAUUUAAAGAAGUCACACAUGUGGACAGUUACCACCCUACCUUCUCAGGGAUGUGCGUGACCCCUAAGCUGCCCUCCCUUUGUGCAGCCCACCCUGUCUGGCUGCAGGAGCUCGGUGAGCGUGUGAGGGCCCUGAGGUUGGUGGAAACAGCUGUGAUCCUGUGUACCACCAGCUGCUGUCACCUGCUUUGGAGAUCAAACUCUCAAAGAAGUUUGAAGACUGCCAGAAUGGCUGAGGGUCCUUUCUGAAAACAAUAAAAUUCCUAAUAUGUACUGGUGUACCUGCCUGCAAAAUCUGGUUUGCUGGUGCUUCAGAUGAGAAGAGUUUGGCUGCAGUUUCGUGGAAUGCAGUUCCUGCCCGGCUGUUUUUGCUGUCAAACAGGUGAUUUAAAGUGCUUCAGAGCCACUGAGUCAUCGCUGUGCUUAGAUGAGUCGAUUAUCACUGCAUCGGGAUCCUCUUGCGAUAUCUCCCAGCCUGACACCUCUGCCUCGAACAAAGAAAGGACUGGAGCUAGUACCAGCCUGGGGAGCAUUUGGAUUUGAAGAGCACUGAACUCCAGUGGUUGAAAUGUUGAUUAGGUUUUGCAAAUGAGCUACACACCUCUUUGAAAGUUUUCCUACCUUUCAAAGACAAUAAUUUGAAAUGCUUCCCAUAGUGCUGAGUAAUGACAGUAUCUCUCUAUUAAGUAGAAAAUUCUGCUCUCAAACACUUACAAGCUGCUUUUGUACUGGACCUAGGGGUUUGCAUGUCUGUGAACAGACACAGAAGCCAUUUAACAGUCCACAAUGUAACAACGUGCUCCAAAGAUCCCAGAGUUAAAAUUGAAGCUGUACAUAGAUACAAUAUUUGGAGCACAUGGAAUGGGAACAAUCCAUUCAGCACUGUUCCUUUGGAAGCCAGUUGCACCAGCAGGCUAGUGAGCCCGGUGUACCUCUUCAGGCAAAGUUUUUCAAAGGCAAUUGCACUUUAAGUGGUAGAGAAUAUUCAUGUUGUGCAAAUGAUUGAAAUUACAAUUCCACAACUUGAGCAAACCACAGUACCUCUUGUAGUGGCUGUUGGUUUUUGUCUUUAGUACAGAUGUGAUUAUUUCCUAUACUCUUACUAAUGAUCUCUAUUGAAAUUGCAAGAAGGAAAUGCAAAAUAAGGAAAACCUUAGUGUGACUGAAAUGUAACAGUUGAGUAUAGAGAAAUUACUAGCAAAAUCAGAAGAUAGGCUUUGAGUAAUUGAAGUUGAUGGCAAUAAAUUAAAUACAAAGUAGCUUGUUUAUAAACAAUCUUUUCAUGUGUUUGCACUCCAUCAUUCAAUUACUUUGUUGUGCUCACCAUGCUUGCUUUUUUUUUUUUUUUUUUGUCUUUAUACUGAAAUAUUUCAAGAGUAAGAAAUAAUUCAGAUAAAGAAAAUUUGUGGUGAUGUUUCUAAAACUUGCAUUUCUUGUACAACGGCACAGGACACAUAAAUGAUAUAAUCAGAAUAAUAAUGGAAAUUAUGCUAUUGUAAUUAUUAGAUUCAAUAUGCACCAAUGUUUCUGGGUUUUCUGCAGGAAUAUUUCUGUUGGGCUCUUUAUAGAAUCAUUGGAGGGGAUAAAGUGAAAAGCUGGAACUGUUUGUCAGCUUGAAUUCCUUGGUUAUAUGGUUUUGUUUUAUUUUAUGAUACUUUAAAGUCCUCUCUUUAUCUAGUUAAAUUAGUGGCAAAAUAUCAAUAUCUGAAGAACAGAUGUGGAAAUGAUUCUGUAGUUACGUAUUCACAAAACAAACAAAUGACUGUCAAGGCAUGUGUA